rnacentral:rRNA from 1 species
GACGAACGCUGGCGGCGUGCUUAACACAUGCAAGUCGAACGGAAAGGCCCUGCUUUUGUGGGGUGCUCGAGUGGCGAACGGGUGAGUAACCCGUGAGUAACCUGCCCUUGACUUUGGGAUAACUUCAAGAAACUGGGGCUACUGCCGGAUAGCAGCUCCUGAUGCAUGGGGGGGUUUGGAAAUUAUCGGCGGGUGUGGAUGGACUCGCGGCUUAUCAGCUUGUUGGUGGGGUAGUGGCUUACCAAGGCUUUGACGGGUAGCCGGCCUGAGAGGGUAACCGGCCACAUUGGGACUGAGAUACGGCCCAGACUCCUACGGGAGGCAGCAGUGGGGAAUAUUGCACAAUGGGCGGAAGCCUGAUGCAGCAACGCCGCGUGCGGGAUGACGGCCUUCUGGUUGUAAACCGCUUUCGCCUGUGACGAAGCGUGAGUGACGGUAAUGGGUAAAGAAGCACCGGCUAACUACGUG